rnacentral:rRNA from 1 species
GGGACAACAGUUGGAAACGGCUGCUAAUACCCCAUACUCCAACUUAUCCUAAGAUAAGUUGGGAAAGAUUUAUUGCUAAAGGAUGGGGCUUUAUUUGUAUCAGCUAGUUGGUGGGGUAAUGGCCUACCAAGGCAAUGACGCAUACCUGGUCUGAGAGGAUGAUCAGGCACACUGGAACUGAGACACGGUCCAGACUCCUACGGGAGGCAGCAGUGGGGAAUAUUGCACAAUGGAGGAAACUCUGAUGCAGCAACGCCGCGUGGAGGAUGACGCAUUUCGGUGUGUAAAUUCCUUUUAUAAGGGAAGAUAAUGACGGUACCUUAUGAAUAAGCACCGGCUAACUCCGUGCCAGCAGCCGCGGUAAUACGGAGGGUGCAAGCGUUACUCGGAAUCACUGGGCGUAAAGGAUGCGUAGGCUGGAAAUCAAGUCGAGAGUGAAAUCCAACGGCUCAACCGUUGAACUGCUCUCGAAACUGGUUACCUAGAAUAUGGGAGAGGUAGAUGGAAUUAGUGGUGUAGGGGUAAAAUCCGUAGAUAUCACUAGGAAUACCGAUUGCGAAGGCGAUCUACUGGAACAUUAUGACG